AACUUUCAACAACGGAUCUCUUGGUUCUGGCAUCGAUGAAGAACGCAGCGAAAUGCGAUAAGUAAUGUGAAUUGCAGAAUUCAGUGAAUCAUCGAAUCUUUGAACGCACAUUGCGCCCGCCAGAAUUCUGGCGGGCAUGCCUGUUCGAGCGUCAUU
rnacentral:rRNA from 1 species